rnacentral:rRNA from 1 species
GAUGAACGCUGGCGGCGUGCCUAAUACAUGCAAGUCGAGCGAACGGACGAGAAGCUUGCUUCUCUGAUGUUAGCGGCGGACGGGUGAGUAACACGUGGAUAACCUACCUAUAAGACUUGGAUAACUUCGGGAAACCGUAGCUAAUACCGGAUAAUAUUUUGAACCGCAUGGUUCAAAAGUGAAAGACGGUCUUGCUGUCACUUAUAGAUGGAUCCGCGCUGCAUUAGCUAGUUGGUAAGGUAACGGCUUACCAAGGCAACGAUGCAUAGCCGACCUGAGAGGGUGAUCGGACACACUGGAACUGAGACACGGUCCAGAAUCCUACGGGAGGCAGCAGUAGGGAAUCUUCCGCAAUGGGCGAAAGCCUGACGGAGAAACGCCGCGUGAGUGAUGAAGGUCUUCGGAUCGUAAAACUCUGUUAUUAGGGAAGAACAUAUGUGUAAGUAACUGUGCACAUCUUGACGGUACCUAAUCAGAAAGCCACGGAUAACUACGUG